GUGUACUGUGAUGGGAAUUGUUUAACUUUACCCAUUUGUGAACAUUUCUUGCAUAAUUGUUAAGUGUUUUUAGCUAACUACAUCUGUUUUCUCUUUUGAAGGUGAAGAAAAACCCAUGUGGUCAUGAUUGCUCUAGUAUAAGAAGGAAAAAGAAGGCGAAGAAUGGAACCAAGCAUUGGGUAUGUGAUAAGGUGAAAGAUUGGCUGAUUGAAGAUGCAACUCUCGGGGCGAAGGCAUUGCAGAAGAAGAUUAAAGAACACCACAAGGUUGACCUCCACUACAAGAGAAUAUAUAUGGAGAACCACCAAAGAAGAGGAGGAAGACUACCAAAUCAGCCCAGUCAUCCAUUGUGCCAAGAGGUGAUGAAGCACCAGCAACCGCUAUGUCCUUUCCACCAAGCCAAAGCUUAGAAAUUACAACCAAGAAGAAAGGAAAACACAGCCAAACUUGGAGACUACAAAGAAGAAAAAUGGAAAAGGGUGUAAAAGGUGAUCUUUUGCUGCCAUACAUGUACAAGUGCAGAUCAGGGAAGGGGAAGAAGAUGGAGCUUGCUAUAAAGGAUGAAAUUUGUCCUAUGGUGCCAUUUGACAGCCCCGCAAUGAGCACAAGAAGCAAACGAAGACUUAGCUUGUGAACCAAAUUUAAUAUCUUUUAGUUAGAGAUUUAGAGUCACUUUUGUUGCUUCUCAUGUCAUGUUGUGUGGACUUGGACUCAUGUAUGUGAACCUUAGGUCACUUUUGUGUAGUCCAUAUCAUGUAUG